UACGUAGGGGGCUAGCGUUAUCCGGAAUUACUGGGCGUAAAGGGUGCGUAGGUGGUUUCUUAAGUCAGAGGUGAAAGGCUACGGCUCAACCGUAGUAAGCCUUUGAAACUGAGAAACUUGAGUGCAGGAGAGGAGAGUAGAAUUCCUAGUGUAGCGGUGAAAUGCGUAGAUAUUAGGAGGAAUACCAGUUGCGAAGGCGGCUCUCUGGACUGUAACUGACACUGAGGCACGAAAGCGUGGGGAGCAAACAGGA
rnacentral:rRNA from 1 species